CACGACCUCCAGGAGGAUACAGCAGCUCUCAAGCAAGAGCAACAAUCUCUUAAUGAUCGGAUGAGCAACAUAAAACGUGGCCUCCUCCACGAGGCCUCUCUCGAGCCCUCUGGACGCUUUGCCUCACGCCUCCGCCUCCUCUUUGGUGACGAUAAUUAGACUCUUCUGAUCCUACUGUCUAGUAUUUUCCUUGAUAAUAUCAUAUCUUUAGUGUCUCCACCUUACGUCAAGAGAAUGCACUGAAAUUUUAGGUUUUUAAAUUUUGCACUUUUG
rnacentral:lncRNA from 1 species